UUCAAUGGAUUAAUGCAGCGCCUUAGGGG
rnacentral:piRNA from 1 species